UCUACCAUUAGUCGAUAUUUAUAUAUAUUUAAUUAGAAAUAAAAAGUAUAAAAUUUGUACAACAAAUAUUUUUCAAUUCAUCUGUCUUCAAAAAAGUAUAAUCUGACAUGUUUUCUUACUUUUGUUAGAUGUAGUUUUAAACAUAUUUUUCAUAUUUUAUCCAUAUCUGUCGCUGAAGUCACAUACAUUACGAGGCCGGUAGAAGCAUAAUGGAUACUUCCCGAAAUUAUAAAAAUCCUUUUCAGGAUUAUUUAAGUUCAUCCUGUCUUACUGUAUUGAAGCCAGAAGAAAAUACUAUAGCAGACAAUUUUAAAGUUUUGCUAACUACAAAUACCCAAAGAUUGAUACAAAAAUUAGAAGAAAAUAAAAAUGAUUGGACUUACCAUGAUGAUCAUUCUAUUUACACAGGAACUGCUGGUAUAGCAAAUAUGUUUCAACUUUAUGCUGAUUAUUUCAAUGAACCUGCAUAUUACUCUAAAGCAAUAGAAUUGUUACAAACCUGUAUCAAAAAAUUUAAAUGGAAAAGGGAAAUAACUUUUUUAACUGGCUUAUCUGGACCAUUAGCACUUGGAGCAGUUAUAUUUCAUAAACAUGGAAGUAAGGAUGAUUCACAAAAUGCAAUAUCUAAAUUGAUAUCUUUAUCAUCCCAUGUUAUAAAUGAACAUAGUGAAAUACCAGAUGAACUACUUUAUGGAAGAGCUGGAUAUCUUUUUUCUCUUCUUUAUAUAAAUUCAAAUAUAUCUCCACCUCCUAUUAAAAGUGAUAUUAUCAAACAGGUUAUCUCUAGUAUAAUAAAAUCUGGAAAUAUAUACUCUACAUCGAGACAUUACAAGUCUCCACUUAUGUAUUCAUGGCAUGAUACAGAAUAUCUUGGUGCAGCUCAUGGACUGGCUGGUAUUCUCUACAUACUCUUACAAGCUCGAGAUUAUUUACAUGAAGAACAACUGAAAAAUUAUAUACUACCAGCUUUAUAUUAUCUUCAAGAUCUAAAAUAUCCGUCAGGAAAUUUUCCUUCUUCGAUAGGAAGUAAUACAGAUAAAUUGAUACACUGGUGUCAUGGAGCUCCAGGAAUGACUAUGUUAUUUUGUCUUGCCUAUGAGAUAUAUUCGGAUAAGAAAUUUUUAGAAACUGCUAUACAAUGUGGAGAAGUAAUUUGGGAAAGGGGUUUGUUGAAAAAAGGAUAUGGAAUAUGUCAUGGAGUUUCUGGAAAUGCAUAUACAUUUCUACAUCUGUAUCAACAAACAAAGGAUCUAAAACAUUUAUAUAGAGCUUGUAAAUAUGCGGAAUGGUGCUGUAAUUAUGGAGUAAAUCAAAAUAGAAUUCCUGAUAGACCAUUUUCUUUGUUUGAAGGUCUUGCUGGUGUAAUUUAUUUUCUUAUAGAUAUGCAAAAGCCAAGUAUGGCCAAAUUUCCAGCAUAUACUUUAUAAAGUUAACAUAUUCGGAUUAUCGUAUUUAUUACAACACAAUUUUCUUUAUGAUUACUUUUAAAAAGAAUCCGUUUUAUAAUAAAGUUUUCUAUUUAAAAUUGGAUGAGAUGGUACUGCAAAUUGUUCUCAAGUAUAUUCGUUGUUUAAAUUGCUCGUACUUUAUACUCGUUAUACUAUAUAACCCUUGUGAAAAAAUCCAUAAAAGAGAGAAAAUAUGAUGAUAUAUUAUGGAUAUAAACGAGAUUAGUAUAAAACAAAUUUUUUUAAAUUAUUUAUAUUAUUAAAUUAUUUAAUACAUAAUAUAACGUAAUACACACAUACACACACACACACGCACACAUGUAUAAUUUAAAUAUAUUUAAAUUAAAUAUUUUCUUUUUAAAAAAGUUAAAGUAUUACAACAUAAUAAAGAUUCUUUCUUUUAUAUACUCCGUGACGAUUGAAAAGUGAUCGAAUGAAAGUCUGAAAUGUGAGUUGUCCCCGUCUUCUUUCGUUGCGUCACUUUCUACUCGUCCGAAUAAUACACUCUUCCAAUAUAUAUACAUACAUACGUACAUUCAUAGAAGUACAGUACAUAUAUUAAGUAGCAAUGCAAGAAUGAAAUUUCGACUUUUGAUAGAUUUUUGAAAAAACUUUAAAGAAUAAAUUUAAUAAUAAUAUAUUCAUUUAUCUAUUAAAAAAAAAAAAAAAGAAAAUAAUUUUGAAAGAAAACUCGAAAUUUUACAAUUCAUCGUAGGAACAAGUAAUAAUCAUAAAUAAUUACUUAACUGCAUAUUUUUUGUAUCAUGUAAUAUAUUUUAUUAUCAAAAUAUUUGCAUUAUAUUUUUAUAUAUGUAGGUAUAUUACAUCAAAA